rnacentral:rRNA from 1 species
GACGAACGCUGGUGGCGUGCUUAACACAUGCAAGUCGAACGGAAAGGCCCUGCUUUUGUGGGGUGCUCGAGUGGCGAACGGGUGAGUAACACGUGAGUAACCUGCCCUUGACUUUGGGAUAGCUUCAGGAAACUGGGGCUAAUACCGGAUAGGAGCUCCUGCUGCAUGGUGGGGGUUGGAAAGUUUCGGCGGUUGGGGAUGGACUCGCGGCUUAUCAGCUUGUUGGUGGGGUAGUGGCUUACCAAGGCUUUGACGGGUAGCCGGCCUGAGAGGGUGACCGGCCACAUUGGGACUGAGAUACGGCCCAGACUCCUACGGGAGGCAGCAGUGGGGAGUAUUGCACAAUGGGCGGAAGCCUGAUGCAGCAACGCCGCGUGCGGGAUGACGGCCUUCGGGUUGUAAACCGCUUUCGCCUGUGACGAAGCGUGAGUGACGGUAAUGGGUAAAGAAGCACCGGCUAACUACGUG